CAAAAUCAGAGCUCAGCUCCAAGGCUCCGUCCACCCAACACACUUUGUAACACUGAUGGGUGGAGGAGAACGAGAAAAUCAACUAGUAAGAUCACAGUCCGCUCGGCCAAAAAACAGGAGAGGCUAAAAAAAAACAUGGAACGCAAAACCAAAGUGCUACUGGGCGUAACCUGGAGACGCCCUCGCUCCCUUCCCUCCUGACCCAGGAUGUGACCACAGGGACACGUCUCUCCGCUGCCUCCCAGGGCUCUCCCACCUCCUCCCCUACCUCACCCUUCUCAUCCUCCUCGGUGAAGUCAGUGGCUCCUCAAACCAGUCGGUGACCCACUGACCCGUCCGAGCCGGGCGAGGUUGGCGUGGAGGUGGGUUUGGAGGACCAGAGGGUUGUGUGUGAGGGUCUUAAAGCCAGGUGUGCUGCCAUUUGUGAGUCUGCAGUUCUCAGAGGGACGUGAACGAGGCGUCUUGGUUAUUAUCAUGGCUCCAGCGGAAACGUCUGCAGUUCAGCCCCUCUGCCGUUUUACUCCCAGACUACGUGAGAUCUAAUCAUCUUUAAAAUGCUGCUCGCUAGAGGUUCAGAUGGAAUGUUUGAAGUUUCUGAGGAAAUGAGAAAAGGACAGGAGGGAGAGGACGUCUGCGGAGGCCGCCCAGUAAGAACCCGUUACUAUACUAAUACAGGGACAUCAACAGAAGUACUACACAGAUAUGUACAGAGCAACCAAGCAACACAUUGGAAUACUGAGUAAUAAAUCUGGUGUGGGAAAGGGAAGGUAAUAGUCCACUACAAAUGCACAUACCCCACUACUUUUUCGUGUAGUCGGUCCAAUCUUUAAGGCUACUCUCUUGCGCUUGCUACAAACGCGGCAGCAGCGAAAGCCACCACAACAUAGAUUUGAGUCACACGUCUGUGCUUGACUUUUUGAAUAUGGCUGCUUUGUGAUUCUGUGUGCCGAGCUGACAGCUACCCUUCUCCUCAGAGUGAGCAUUAAGAGAAGGCAAACACCGUAAAGAAAACAAAUCAAACAUGACCCGGGAUGAGUUGCAUGCAUCCCCUCUUUUUUUUUUUUUUGUGCUAAAUCAUUCUCUGGUCCACAGAGCUCUGUAGAAGAAGAAAAAAAACAAAAAAACAAGGUGAUCCUCCGUAAUGCGGAGGGUGACGGAUGAGAGAUGCUAAUGGACGAAGAAUCACAGAUAGAUGAGGAAGCAUGGAUUACUGUGAAAUUAGACUCUGGUGGCGUACGCAUUACCAGCUGAAUGGGAGAGUAAAUGAACAAUCGAGCAGAGGAAGUGGAAAUCUAUACUUAGUGGAGGAUUAAAAUGAAGCGUUGUAAUGAGGAAACGGGGUGGACAUGAGGAGACACACAGACACAAAGAGACAGAGAGAGAGAGGGCAUCUGUCAGCUUCGGCAAACACAGUCAUCCUGCACCUUAACACACACUGCGUCACAUGACAAACUACAUCAGAGAGAGAGAGAGAGAGGGGGGAGGAGGGAGGCACUGCACAGAGAGCACUAGCACUACCAUGGACGGACACACACCUAACACACACACACACACACACACUACUGCACAGGGUCCCAGUCUGCGUUCCACUGCACUCUCCUGGCUGCCAGAACCUCGCUGUGUCUUGUCAAGAAAAAACAACAAACGAACCGAUUAACAAACAAACGGACGAAAAGAAGAAACAACGCACACUUUUGGUUCCCACUGGCUAUAAUAAAAAAAUAAACCAGAAACAGAACCUAGAAUAUAAAAAGAGCCAGUGGCACCGGGUUUUACAGAAAGCAUUUUCUCAAUAACUGGCUUUUGAACAGCUCUACGCUUUUUCUUUUAGUCUACCAAGUAUAUACUAUUAACCUUACCAGGCAGCUAAAAUCUAUACAGUACUGUCAUUUUUCAUAUAUUUAUAGAUAUUUAUACACUAUACAAAGUUGGCAAAAAUACAUAAAUAAAUACAUUAAAUUAGAUUGUACACAUCACAAUUGUGUGUUUUAAGUUAGAGCACUCUUUGUUGAAGAGGUGGGUCACGGCAAGUCGAGAAAGGAGGUGAAGAAACAGGAGUGUUACCCUCGACAUCCCGUCACAAGUCCCCAUCACACUUGGUAAGUAACAUUUCAGAGUAUGGCGUUAGAUCAGUUAAGUGUAUUGCUUAUUACCUACCUGAUUAAAAAUGUCCGCAUUAUGGCAGGAGUUAGAGGCUGCUCUAACCACAUCACGAAGUCUAUUUACAACCAGCGGGAGGCAAAGGAAAAGCACACCGAAGGAUCUUGGAUUUAGGGAAACUGGUCAGAAUUUAUUUUUAGCGAGUUUGUGGACUUUCUGACUCCCCGUGGGACUCCGUCUAAAGGAUGGCAUUACAAGUGAAGGCAGGACUGUAUCCGCUGUCCUUCCUGCUGAUGGCUGCUGGGAGUAUCUGCUGUACCGUAUCAUGUCUGUGGCAGAGACGCUCCUAAAAGUAAUGUGAAACUGAUAAGCUCCAUCCCUGCACUGUACACAGGCCCAGGCAGACACAUAAGGCUAUGGCAUAUGGAAAAUGUGGAAGUGGGCGUACCGACACCUGCAGUGAUAUAACUGGACUACAGCCAUGUGCCUUUGCUAUUUUUUGGAUGAAGCAGUAGGCUGAGUAAAUGACACAUUUUAGACAUCUGGAAAGAUCUCUUAUCUAACUUUUUUGAAUGAUUAAAACCAAUUCUUCUUUUCACUAUUCCUGGGCUUUUCUUAUUUGAGUUUGAGAGUUCUUACAAAUAUCUGACAAAGCAAGAGAUAAGCCUAUUAUUUGGCAAGUUCAUGUCAGUCAGUUGUGCUUAAUCAAAAUAAAUAAGAGGCUGAAUCACAAGCAUGCAAACUGUCUUCACAGGGUCAGAUGGAUGGUUAAUGUCCUUCUACUUGGAAUCCACUCUGUCCUCUAUACAUGCCCAUCCCCAUGUAUGGCCUCCAGCAGAGCAAUAAUGACUCCAAAUUCAAUGAGGAAGGCAUCAUCAGUGUCAGUACAGGGCCAAUCCCGUCUAACACAAUGGCAUUACAGUAAAUCCCCAAGCCUAUAAGCAGACAGGGCGAGAUGUGAUGCCAAGCGACCGGGGCAGAGUGACUCCACAGGGAGCUGAACGGUCCUGUCGCACAGCCGGGGAGCGCUCUGUUCCUGACGCUUGUAACAAAAACACAACAAUGUUUUGUGGCAUGAAAAACACAAGCUACAAUUUGUGCCACACAUCGCACAGUCAAUUUCCUGGAGGUGUGUGUGGGGCAGGCGGGGAAAGGUAUGUGGCAGUGCUGCUACAGUGGGCCUGGGAUGUGUUGGGUAUCACUCCUUCCCUUGGUUCCUCUUGCCCUGACCUCACGACGCCUCCAACAAAAAUACAGCGGACAUCAAAAGCCCUUAUUCAAGAAGGGCAGGUAUAAUCAGCUUCGGCAUCAUCAACAUCACCACUGUUAUUCAUGAAUAUCAUUGUUUUCUUCAUCAUUUCAAGUGACAAAUGAAAACUCAGCGUACAACAAAUGUUAAUUUUUCACCAACAAUAUUUACAUAAAGUUUUUCAAAAACAGAAGGAUUUUCUUCUCACGGUUUUGUAAAGAAAGCAACCCAACACAAGAACACCAAGCACACACAUACAUACACACUGACCAACAGUCAAAUGUGAACCGAAAGGAAAAAAAAAAAAAGAUAUUAUUACUCAUUGUUUUUCAUAUUCACUUUCGUUACUAUUCAAAUAAUGCUUACUCGAACCCUGAUUGGGAGAAGUCACACUGGCUUUCACCAGAUGCUUAAAACAAUUGAAAGGGUGAGUUGGGGGAGGCGAGGUCUGUCUGCACAGGGCGAGACGCACACAGAUACUGACUGGACAAAUGACAAAGGUGACCCAGGAGGCUUCUGGGCUUACUCAGCCAUCAUAACAUGAUUCAGCAGAAUAAAACAUCAGCUGCACUCCCUCUAGGAUGAGAUUACUACAGCCUGAUUUUUAUCCACACACACACACACACACACACACACACACACACACACACACACACCUAAAGUUCUCCAAGACAUAAAACACCUUAAUCUAAUAUUGCAAAAAAACUACAGCAAAGCAGGCACCUUUCCAAUAGAGUGACUCAUUGACACUCAUCUUAAGAAAGCAAUAUCCAUCAAGGCAAACUAGUACUGAGGAAUAAGAAAAGGAGGAAGAGAGCAUGACAAGGACAAACAACAUCAGCAGGCACCUUUCCAAUAGAGUGACUCAUUGACACUCAUCUUAAGAAAGCAAUAUCCAUCAAGGCAAACUAGUACUGAGGAAUAAGAAAAGGAGGAAGAGAGCAUGACAAGGACAA
ensembl:lncRNA